rnacentral:rRNA from 1 species
CCAUCAUUUAGUUGGGGACUCUAAGGGGACUGCCGGUGAUAAACCGGAGGAAGGUGGGACGACGUCAAGUCAUCAUGGCCCUUAUGACCGGGGCUACACACGUACUACAAUGGUCGGUACAGACGGUCGCAAGCUCGCGAGAGUAAGCUAAUCCGAGAAAACCGAUCGUAGUCCGGGUCGCAGUCUGCAACUCGACUGCGUGAAGUCGGAAUCGCUAGUAAUCGCAAAUCAGAAUGUUGCGGUGAAUACGUUCCCGGGCCUU